CCCUUAGAUGUUCUGGACUGCAUGCGCGCUACACUGAAGCUAUCAACACGUUUUCCCUCCCUGAGAAGGGCGGGUAACCUUUUGAAUCAGCUUCGUGGUAGGGAUCGGGGCUUGCAAUUGUUCCCCGUGAACCAGGAAUUCCUAGUAGACGCGAGUCAUAAGCUCGCAUCGAUUAAGUCCCUGCCCUUUGUACACACCGCCCGUCGCUACUACCGAUUGAACGUUUUAGUGAGGCAUUUGGACCGACGCAUCUCAGUUUAACCGCUGGUUUGUGUUGGAAAGACUUCCAAACUUGAGCGUUUAGAGGAAGUAAAAGUCGUAACA
rnacentral:rRNA from 1 species